rnacentral:rRNA from 1 species
UGCGUAGGCGGAAUGAUAAGUUAGUGGUGAAAGCCUCCGGCUCAACCGGAGAACUGCCAUUAAUACUGUCAUUCUUGAGUAUAGUUGAAGUGGGCGGAAUGUAUCAUGUAGCGGUGAAAUGCUUAGAUAUGAUACAGAACACCAAUAGCGUAGGCAGCUUGCUAAACUAUAACUGACGCUCAGGCACGAAAGCGUGGGGAGCAAACAGGAUUAGAUACCCUGGUAGUC